GCAAGCGUUAAUCGGAAUUACUGGGCGUAAAGCGCACGUAGGUGGUUUGUUAAGUCAGAUGUGAAAUCCCCGAGCUCAACUUGGGAACUGCAUUCAAAACUGGCAAGCUAGAGUAUGGUAGAGGGGGGUAGAAUUUCAGGUGUAGCGGUGAAAUGCGUAGAGAUAUGAAGGAACACCAGUGGCGAAGGCGGCCCCCUGGACAAAGACUGACGCUCAGGUGCGAAAGCGUGGGGAGCAA
rnacentral:rRNA from 1 species